CCCUUAGAUGUUCUGGGCCGCACGCGCGCUACACUGAUGCAUUCAACGAGUCUAAAACCUGGUCUGAGAGGGCUGGGUAAUCUUUUGAAAGUGCAUCGUGAUUGGGAUAGAUGAUUGCAAUUCUUCAUCUUCAACGAGGAAUGCCUAGUAAACGCAAGUCAUCAGCUUGCAUUGAUUACGUCCCUGCCCUUUGUACACACCGCCCGUCGCUCCUACCGAUUGAACGAUCCGAUGAAAACUGUGGAUUGAGAGUCUGGGUGGGUUCGCCUACCUCAACUUUCGAGAAGCGGUUUAAAUCUUAUCGUUUAGAGGAAGGAGAAGUCGUAACA
rnacentral:rRNA from 1 species